rnacentral:lncRNA from 1 species
UUUUCGUUUUCUAGGGCCACUUCCCAUGGCAUAUGGAGGUUCUCAGGCUAGGGGUCUAACCGGAGCUGUUGCUGCCAGCUCAUGGCAACGCCGGAUCCUUGACCCACUGAGCAAGGCCAGGGAUCAAACCCACAACCUCAUGGUUCCUAGUCGGAUUUGUUUCUGCUGCACCAUAAGGGGAACUCCCUGGAUUGCAAUUUCUGAUCCCCGGAAUCAUUUCCCUCGAAGACACAAAUUCUAAACUUCCUGAAAAGAUUUCUCAGUUACAAAAGGUUCAAAACUUUUCUCUAUCACUCCCUCCUUCUUUUCAAGUCUGUCUUCCAUUCCUUGAUGUCUCCUUUUUAAUUUCCCCCUUAACUUGCUAAAUUCCCUUUUUAUCCCCAAGACCUGAGACCCCCCCUUGAUUCUCCACCCCCAACCUCUUCCAUUUGACCAGUUCAAACUCAUCCAUUUAAAUAGAAACCCCAAAAUGAAUGUAAUUUACACAUUUUUGGACUAAGGCAGAAUUGCCAGCUGUAGCCAAAAAAAAUUUCCCAAGGUUACUGAGGACGUCACUGUUUUGCAGAGGAAUUUAACACUGUCAUUAAAAUCUAUGAGUCUGGGUUUCCUGAUCUUUUAUCAAUUAGUCCACAAGCUCUUGGGAGAAGGUCAGGCACAACUCUGGAAGGCUAAAGCUGGCUGGAAUCAUCCUUUAGAGGUUCUUCAAUGGACCAUGCCAGGUGACAGAUGUUAUGUGGUGUCUCUUACAUGGAGAGCAAGUUCAAAACAGAAGACAUGAAAUCAGCCAUAUCAUCAAGAUUCCAUCCAAGCUCCAGACACGAUUUCAACUGACCAAACGAAUAGGAAACAGACUCCAACAUGGAUGAAGGCUCUAGGACCAAGAUAAUUUAAGGAGCUGUUAAGCCUCAAAAUAAAGCCAAAAGGACUGUUAAAAUUGACACUUAAUAACCUAAAUCCUCUUUCCCUGUUUCCCAAGCCCUCUUCCCCUUUCUCCUUGAGAAGACAUGACCUAUCACACGAAACCCUAACCAUAAAAAAGCCCUUGCCCCUAGAGCGGGGAGCCUGAGUUCUCUCUGCUCAGUGCUCAUGGCCACUCUGUUGGUCUUUAAACCUGCUUGUGAUCUCACUGCACCAGACUCUGUUUCUCUCCACUCCGCCGUCCUAACAACAGACAGCUCUAAAGCCCAAGACAUAGCAAAAACUGUAUAUGAAGCCAGCCAUUGCUCAGACCUUCCCCAAACCCAUUCAUUGAUUGGAACAAAUCCAGGCACACACUCAAGGACUGAUGAACUUGUGCGUGACCGUUACAACAGACUUGGAAUGGUUCUAAAGGAAAAUCCUGGACUCUCCAUAGAAGCAGAGUCCACUAAGGGAGUCUUUAAUUCCAUGUUCACAAGUGGCUGAGAAGAAAACCUCACAAUUCUAGUAAAGCGAGCCCAGUUUAAAUGGGAAGCCAUGGCAGCUCCUGAUUUGGUUAAUCUAGCAAACCAACUGGCCUGGACCAUUCAAAAUUCAAAUAAGCGAAAGGCCACUAAAAUAAUAAAUUUACUGUUUCGACAGCUAUCAGACUCCUCCCAGAGGCUUCAACAAACUAAAUCAAAGCCUUCAAACUCUAAAAAUGUCUGUCAUUUGUGUAAGAAGCCCGGUCAUUGGAAAAAGACUUGCCUUAAACUGAAAGAUGUUAAACAAUGCUCCCACGUUCAGCCUUCAGCUCCUCUCAGGGACUAAGCCUGCUCGGGACAAACAAGGGUUUUUUCCAGUCCUUCCCCUUAAUCAUCAGGGUAAAAAUUCCCUUAUCAUUGGAAAUGAGCUCCUUACUGUCUUAACUGACACGAGACCCACACUUUGCUCAACCCCUCCAACCUCAAACAAAUCCGUCCUCAGAGCACGGAGAUACUCAAAUGUUGAGAGUAUCUAGCAAACCUACGAUUUAUAAGUCUCUUCCCUUUUCUUUCCAGCUGGGCCCCCUCCAGGUCAAUCAUUCCUUCCUACUGGUCAGUCCUGCUCCUGCCGACUUCCUAGAAUGAGACUUUUAAGAGAAAUAUCAUGUUGUCUUCUCCUUUUCUCAAAAGUGGGAGAUUCAACCCCCUCAACAACUCAUGGGAUUCCAAACUCCUCAACCCUAUUAGCAGUUUUUGCCCUUAGGGUAAACUUACAAGAUAACAUACACUUAAAACUCCUCAACGAAGUCCCUGAGAAAUUCUGGGCAGACUACGUGCAACAUUCAUUCAGUUCUCCCAAGUGGAACUCAAAUCAACCCUGGUAAACCUCUCCUAAGCAAUAAACAAUCACCUUUAUUUAUUUAUUUUGCUUUUUAGGGCCGCACCUGAAGCAUAUGGAGGUUCCCAGGCUAGGGGUCUAAUCGGAGCUACAGCUGCCGGCCUACACCACAGCCACAGCAACGCAAGUUCUGAGCCGUGUCUGCGACCUACACCACAGCUCACAGCAACGCCAGAUCCUUAACCCACUGAGCGAGGCCAGGGAUCGAACCCACAACCUCGUGGUUCCUGGUCAGAUUCAUUUCCGCUGUGCCACGACGGGAACUCUAGACAAUAACCUUUAAAUCCUGAGGACUUAGGAGGAAUUAAACCAACUGCAGAGGAAUAUAAGUAAUGUAAUACAGUCCCUGUAUUACAUCCAUUCUCCCUAUUGAGGAACCAAGAGGGUGGAGAUUUGUCCAAGGUUGGAGGGCUAUUUAGAAUGCUGUUAUCCCUUAUCAUCUGGUCAUCCUUGACUCUUAUACCCUUUUAAUAGAAAUACCUAUAGAGGGUAAGUUUUUCACAACAGACCUCUGUAGUACCUUUUCCAGCAUCCUCCUAGAUCCUGAAAGUCAAUUUUUAUUUGCGUUCAUGUGGGUAGGACAAUACAUCUGGCUAUACUGAAAGUCCUUCCUAUUUUUUACCGAUGAUAAAAGCAGAUUUAGCAGAUGCCAUUUUUUUGGGGGAGGGGUGCCUUUGGCCUGCAGAAGUUCCUGGGCCAGGGGUCAAAGCUCUGCCACAGCAGUGACAACGCCAGAUCCUUAAUCUGCUAGGCCACCAGGGAACUCCAAGCAGAUGUCAUUUUUUUUUCCACCAGGGUUUAUCUACCUGAGAAAUAAAAUAUUGCCUGCUAUAUCAGUAAACAAAAGAUAUCACAGUCAUUAGUGAUUGCUGCCACCUCCAAGGGUAAGCCCAGUGUGCCCUGAGGGAACUCAGGAAGGAAACAAAGCAUACCUGUCAUCUAGCAGCCAACAGACUGCAGCCACUUCCAACAGACAGACAAUGAGCCCUGAGGAAAUUCAGGGUGUGAAACACAGGAUACAGACCCCAGAUAGCUGAGGUUCUUAUCUUUUCGCAGAAGGAAUUCAGAAAUGAGAUGGAAAUUGAGAAAGAAAAGUGAGGAUUUAUUUAAGUGAGAAAUACACCUCUUAAAGAUAGGUGGGCAGAGAGGUGAGCAGAUGCCCUGUGUUUCUCUGGCAUGCCGGUUAUAAGGGGCAUCCAAUGGCAUGGGUGGCCUUGCUCAGUGGGUUGGGCGUUGCUGUGAGCUGUGGCGUAGUACUAAUGCUGACAUUUCAGUUUAUUGAUGCUUAUUUGGAAAAUGGCAAAGGAAAACAAUGUGCCAGGUAUGCAAUCACCUCCUCCUUUGAAGUAACUGAGGCAGCUCCACUGACCACUCCUACUUGCGCCCGGCACACCGAACUCCAUGCUUGAACUAGAGCUUGCACCCCAGCAGAAGGUAAAACUGUGAAUAUCUAUACAGAGCGUCACUUUGCAGCAGUUCCUGACUUUGGCAGUUUGGAAACAGAGAGGAUUCUUGACUUCAGGAGGGAAACCAGAUGAAGAAGGAAAGUUAGGUCUGUGAGUCAUUGGAAUCAAUCAACUUCAUCUGUCCUAGUCAUCAUUCAGGUGCCUGAGCAUUCAAAAUUAAAUCCAGAUGAAACAAAGGAAGUAAUUCGUCUGAUCAGGCUGUAAGAACAGCUGUCCCAUGAACCACCCAACCUGAAAAGGUUAGAUUGAAUUUUGACUACAUUUUGAAAGAGGAUCUAAUAAAAAUGAUCAGAGAAGACCAAUCUAAAGCCAGUCUAAGGCACUGUGUAAAGGCUCUAUUGGGCUGAUAAUGGCUGCAUUUUUAGCCCAUUAACUAAUUUAUAGUUAUGGCCCCAAAAGAAGACCUGUCCUACCAGAGUCCAUGUAAAGAUGGAAAUGACUCAUCACUGAGCAGCUGAUCAAUGAAACAAUACUGCUGGGGAAAAUUUUUUUAAGGUCACCAAGGAGGCACAAUUAGCUUGUGCUGUACAUCCUUAAAAAACAAAAAACAGGGAAGGAGUUCCUGUUGUGGUGCAGCAGAAACAAAUCUGACUAGUAUCCAUGAGGAUGCAGGUUUGAUCCCUAGCCUCGCUCAGUGGGUGGGGGAUCUGGCACUGUUGUGGCUGUGGUGUAGGCCGGCAGCUGCAGCUCUGAUUUGACCCCUAGCCUGGGAACUUCCAUAUGUCUCAGGUGAGGCCCUAAAAAACAAAAAUGAAAACAAACAAACAAACAAACAAAAAAACCAAAAACCCAAAAACCCAAAACCAAAACCGAAAAAAAAAAACAACCAGGGAAAACUGCCCCUUGGACAUUUUGAUAGGCCUAAAGGGCCUUUUAAGAUAUGGCAAAUGGGUUUUAUUCACAUUGCCUCCUUCCCAAGGCUAUACAUUUAUUCUUAUUAUGAUUUGCAUGUUUUCUCAUUGGAUUAAAGCAUCCCCUUGACAGCUAUUGCUUUAAGGCUUGCAAAAAUUCUGUUAGAAAAGCUUUUAUCCACAUGGGGGCUAUGCUCUCAGAACUGAAUAAUGAUCAGGGAAUUCAUUUUUACUGGCAUUUUUUUAAACACGUUUGUGAGGUCUGGCCUUUUCUAUAGCACUGUCACUGUCCUCAUGACCCCCAGUCCUUUGGUCUGGUGGAAAGAACAGAUGGAUUAUUAAGGCUCAAGUGGCAAAAUUUAUGCAGACCUUAAAAUUGGCUUGGCUUAAGACAUUUCCUUUGGUCCUUCUUUUUUUUGGUCUUUUUUAGGGCUAAACUCACGGAGGUCCCAGGCUAGGGGGUCCCAGGUUAGGGGAGGUCCCAGGCUAGGGGUAUAUUGGGAGCUAUAGCUGCCAGCCUACACCAGAGCCAAAGCAACUUGGGAUUUGAGCUGCAUCUGCAACCUACACCACAGCUCAUGGCAACACCGGAUGCUUAACCCACUGAGCGAGGCCAGUAUAUCUAUAUGAUCAGUGUCUUCACUUGGUUUUUUGUUGACACGGCACAGGACAUUUCUCUAAAGCCCUACUCUAACAUUCCAACCUCCUGGACUCUCCCUCUUUUUCCUUCACCUAUGGCAUGAAGCAAAGGGCUGACCAAAAUUUGUAAGAAAUUCAAUCUCACCCAUCUAUGUCAAGCUUUUUGUGGCACGGGGACCAGACGGUUGUCACCUGGCCCCUUAAUGGGCUGUAAUGGCUCCAUCCACCCUUGGCUAGAACAUGUCCCUAAGCUCAUAACCUGUCAAUGCAAACGAAACACGAAUACCCACACUCUUGGUGGAGUCCACACUCUUCUGGGUACAUUCUUGCGUGUGACGACAAGGGGGGACCAUGGGCUUACGAAUGUUUAGACAGCUGCCGUAGUGUGACAGGACCAUGCCUUUUAGGAUACUGUUCUCACUGAAGGAAAAAUCCAGCCAAAAUCUCAUCGGUCUGGAUGAGACUUAGUAGCCCCCUUUUUAUACCCCAUCUACCCUCCAAUAAUUAUCACUGCAAAAAGGAUUUGUUCCUUGGAUUGAUGCUGUCCAUAACUGGCCUGUGGAACCAUGGCUACAUUAAUCAGCUCUACCGUUUGAGGCUUAGUUCAACACCAGUGAUCCCUGGACUCCCUAGUGAGGACUGUAUUAGGCAAUCAAACAGUGCUUUAUUAUCUCUUUGCAGAACAGGGCAGCCUCUGGGCCCUAGCUAGCAGCUCCUAUUGCACCUAGAUUAACACUUCUGGUAGAUCCGAACUCAAAAAAAAUUGGGAAAAUAGCACAAAACCUCUCUAUUUUUCUAUCAAUGUUUUCAGCUGGCUUUCUUUAGCUAUAGACGCUUAGAUAAGAUCAGGACUUCAACUUUUAGGAUUAUUAUUAGAAUUUUGCUAUGUGUGCUUAUAUUUAAACUUCUUAUGCCAUCCUUCUCUCAGAUCUGCUCCAGACCUUCUAUAAGCACCAAGACUGUGGCCUUUGAAUGGACUGAAAUGAUAGUAAGGCUUAUUCACUUGAACAUUCAGGUAAUUUGAUGAAAUUCCUAGAUGAAAGUGCCUAAGAGUUAUUUCCUGAA